rnacentral:rRNA from 1 species
ACGUAGGAAUCUAUCCUGGGGUGGGAGUAACAGUGGGAACGUAACUGCUAAUACCGCAUGAUACCUGAGGGUCGAAAGGACGUUAGUCGCCUUGGGAGGAGCCUGCGUCUGAUUAGCUAGUUGGUGGGGUAAAGGCCUACCAAGGCGACGAUCAGUAGCUGGUCUGAGAGGAUGAUCAGCCACAUUUGGGACUGAGACACGGCCCAAACUCCUACGGGAGGCAGCAGUGGGGAAUAUUGGACAAUGGGCGCAAGCCUGAUCCAGCAAUGCCGCGUGUGUGAAGAAGGUCUUCGGAUUGUA